GACGAACGCUGGCGGCGUGCUUAACACAUGCAAGUCGAACGGAAAGGCCCUGCUUUUGUGGGGUUCUCGAGUGGCGAACGGGUGAGUAACACGUGAGUAACCUGCCCUUGACUUUGGGAUAACUUCAGGAAACUGGGGCUAAUACCGGAUAGGAGCUCCUGCUGCAUGGGGGGGGUUGGAAAGUUUCGGCGGUUGGGGAUGGACUCGCGGCUUAUCAGCUUGUUGGUGGGGUAGUGGCUUACCAAGGCUUUGACGGGUAGCCGGCCUGAGAGGGUGACCGGCCACAUUGGGACUGAGAUACGGCCCAGAAUCCUACGGGAGGCAGCAGUGGGGAAUAUUGCACAAUGGGCGGAAGCCUGAUGCAGCAACGCCGCGUGCGGGAUGACGGCCUUCGGGUUGUAAACCGAUUUCGCCUGUGACGAAGCGUGAGUGACGGUAAUGGGUAAAGAAGCACCGGCUAACUACGUG
rnacentral:rRNA from 1 species